rnacentral:rRNA from 1 species
GACGAACGCUGGCGGCGUGCUUAACACAUGCAAGUCGAACGGAAAGGCCCUGCUUUUGUGGGGUGCUCGAGUGGCGAACGGGUGAGUAACACGUGAGUAACCUGCCCUUGACUUUGGGAUAACUUCAGGAAACUGGGGCUAAUACCGGCUAGGAGCUCCUGCUGCAUGGUGGGGGUUGGAAAGUUUCGGCGGUUGGGGGUGGACUCGCGGCUUAUCAGCUUGUUGGUGGGGUAGUGGCUUACCAAGGCUUUGACGGGUAGCCGGCCUGAGAGGGUGACCGGCCACAUUGGGACUGAGAUACGGCCCAGACUCCUACGGGAGGCAGCAGUGGGGAAUAUUGCACAAUGGGCGGAAGCCUGAUGCAGUAACGCCGCGUGCGGGAUGACGGCCUUCGGGUUGUAAACCGCUUUCGCCUGUGACGAAGCGUGAGUGACGGUAAUGGGUAAAGAAGCACCGGCUAACUACGUG